ACGGGAGGCAGCAGUGGGGAAUAUUGCACAGUGGGGGGAACCCUGAUGCAGCGAUGCCGCGUGGAGGAAGAAGGUUUUCGGAUUGUAAACUCCUGUCUUAAGGGACGAUAAUGACGGUACCUUAGGAGGAAGCUCCGGCUAACUACGUGCCAGCAGCCGCGGUAAUACGUAGGGAGCGAGCGUUGUCCGGAAUUACUGGGUGUAAAGGGUGCGUAGGCGGGACGGCAAGUCAGAUGUGAAAUGUAUGGGCUUAACCCAUGAACUGCAUUUGAAACUGUUGUUCUUGAGUGAGGUAGAGGUAAGCGGAAUUCCUAGUGUAGCGGUGAAAUGCGUAGAUAUUAGGAGGAACAUCGGCGGCGAAGGCGGCUUACUGGGCCUUUACUGACGCUGAGGCACGAAAGCGUGGGGAGCAAACAGGAUUAGAUACCCUGGUA
rnacentral:rRNA from 1 species